rnacentral:rRNA from 1 species
UAACAACUUUCAGCAGUGGAUGUCUAGGCUCGCACAUCGAUGAAGAACGCUGCGAACUGCGAUACGUAAUGCGAAUUGCAGGAUUCAGUGAGUCAUCGAACUUUUGAACGCAUAUUGCACUUUCGGGUUACGCCUGGAAGUAUGUCUGUAUCAGUGUCCGU